GUCUACGGCCAUUUCGCCCUGAAUGUGUCCGAUCUCAUCUGAUCUCGGAAGCUAAGCAGGAUUGGGCCUGGUUAGUACUUGGAUGGGAGACCACGUAGAAAUACCAGGUGCUGUAGGUG
rnacentral:rRNA from 1 species